rnacentral:rRNA from 1 species
GACAGAGGGGGCAAGCGUUGCUCGGAAUCACUGGGCGUAAAGGGCGCGUAGGCGGGAUGGCAAGUCGGUCGUGAAAUCCUUCGGCUCAACCGAAGAACGUCGGCCGAUACUGCCGUUCUUGAGGGAUGCAGAGGAGAUUGGAAUUCCCGGUGUAGCGGUGAAAUGUGUAGAGAUCGGGAGGAACACCGGUGGCGAAGGCGGGUCGCUGGGCAGCUCCUGACGCUGAGGCGCGAAAGCGUGGGGAGCAAACGGG